rfam:Ixodes scapularis strain Wikel colony gcontig_1108378994378, whole genome shotgun sequence.
CCCUGGUUAGCUACGUUGGUAGGGCGCUCCACCUGUAAUGGAGAGGUCCCGGGUUCGAUGCCUGGACCAGGCG